rnacentral:tRNA from 1 species
GGGGUUGUGGCUCAGUGGUAGAGUGCUCCCUUAGCGUGUGCGAGGCCCUGGGUUCCAUCCUCAGCACCACA